UACGGAGGAUGCAAGCGUUAUCCGGAAUGAUUGGGCGUAAAGCGUCCGCAGGUGGCAAUGUAAGUCUGCUGUGAAAGAGUCUAGCUCAACUAGAUAAGAGCAGUGGAAACUACAUAGCUAGAGUACGUUCGGGGCAGAGGGAAUUCCUGGUGUAGCGGUGAAAUGCGUAGAGAUCAGGAAGAACACCAGUGGCGAAGGCGCUCUGCUAGGCCGUAACUGACACUGAGGGACGAAAGCUAGGGGAGCGAAUGGG
rnacentral:rRNA from 1 species